CAUAGUGACUGCCAGGCCUUUUGCUGUGCUUUUGAUUCUGGUUGCCAGGUCUCCACCAACAGGUCGUAGGCUCAGAAGAGAGAAGGCCUUUGUCCCUGUCCUGUGAGGACCACAGCGUACAGCUCCAGUGCCAGGAAGACUGAGAGGAAUGCAGACGGUUUGGAGGCUGGGAAUCUGGGUUUGGAGCCACAGGGGGGGCUUGGCCCAAGGCACCGAGUUCAUGAGCCUGUGAAGGCUGCAGUGCCCAGCAGCAGAAAGAGGGCAAAGUAGAGCAAGCGGGAAGGACUCGGCUACAAACACAGCUGAUGUGUCCCUGAAAACUCAAGGAUAAUCGGGUCAGAGAUUUCGCAGGGAACGGAACUUGUUUACGUGUAUUAGACAUCAUGGUCAAGAGGAAAGAGCUUCUGGCUGUAGAGUCAGACCUGUCUGAGGACAGAUCCCAGGUCCAUCCCUCACUAGAUGCAAUAAGGAUCUCCUGCAAUAUCAUUUCUUUUCUCACAUCUAGAAGCACAUAAUACUUAAGCACAUGAUGCUUAAGAUUUGGAGCAAUAUACAUACAGAAGAGAGCAGAAAUGAUAAUGCCUAGUGAACACCAACAACACGUUCUUCUAAGUAAAUGGACACAGUUAAUAUACAUGAAGAUGAAAGAAUGACUUCAAGCAUUUAUUCAAUCAUGUUCUGUGCUACCUAUGAACAACAAAGAUAUUUACAACACUGAGCAGAGGGAAGACCCUUCCAGCCUCAUGUGCCAAGUAAGAAAACUCAGGCUUCUUACUCUCAGUGGAGUAUCAUGCUGAUUAAGAAAAUGAAAUUAAAAAAUUAAUUUCCAAUCUCUUUCCACAACGUCAAUA